GGAUUAGAUACCCUGGUAGUCCACGCUGUAAACGAUGGAUACUAAGUGCUGGGAAGUAUUUUUCAGUGCUGUAGCUAACGCGUUAAGUAUCCCGCCUGGGGAGUACGGUCGCAAGGCUGAAACUCAAAGAAAUUGACGGGGGCCCGCACAAGCGGUGGAGUAUGUGGUUUAAUUCGAUGCAACGCGCAGAACCUUACCUAGGUUUGACAUCUGUAGAAUUUCCCCGAAAAGGGAAAGUGCUCCUCGGAGAGCUACAAGACAGGUGCUGCAUGGCUGUCGUCAGCUCGUGCCG
rnacentral:rRNA from 1 species